rfam:Hydrogenophaga sp. H7 H7_scaffold1, whole genome shotgun sequence.
GGAGACGUGGGAGAGUGGUUUAAUCCAGCGGUCUUGAAAACCGCCGACCCGCAAGGGUCCGUGAGUUCGAAUCUCACCGUCUCCG